GCUUCCCUCUGGCGGCGUGCCUAAUACAUGCAAGUCGAGCGAACGGACGAGAAGCUUGCUUCUCUGAUGUUAGCGGCGGACGGGUGAGUAACACGUGGAUAACCUACCUAUAAGACUGGGAUAACUUCGGGAAACCGUAGCUAAUACCGGAUAAUAUUUUGAACCGCAUGGUUCAAAAGUGAAAGACGGUCUUGCUGUCACUUAUAGAUGGAUCCGCGCUGCAUUAGCUAGUUGGUAAGGUAACGGCUUACCAAGGCAACGAUGCAUAGCCGACCUGAGAGGGUGAUCGGCCACACUGGAACUGAGACACGGUCCAGACUCCUACGGGAGGCAGCAGUAGGGAAUCUUCCGCAAUGGGCGAAAGCCUGACGGAGCAACGCCGCGUGAGUGAUGAAGGUCUUCGGAUCGUAAAACUCUGUUAUUAGGGAAGAACAUAUGUGUAAGUAACUGUGCACAUCUUGACGGUACCUAAUCAGAAAGCCACGGCUAACUACGUG
rnacentral:rRNA from 1 species